UCUUUCCCUCCAUAUAGUCCACAUCAAACAUGAAGGAGUAAGAUUCUAGAUUGCUGAGAGGGAGGGAGAGGUUUUUAACACCAAUAAUUUGUUUUCAUUUUCUGUUCUCAAACAUGUAUUUUUGGAUCUUCUUCUUGAAAACACAGAACAAAAAAUGAAACCGAAUGUGUGUUAGGUGGUGGGGCCCACAGGAAAUGAAAACUGAAAACAAGGUUUCAGGAGAACCAAACAGGCUCUUACAUCUCCUAGAAGACUCUAGACUCAAUGAAAUUACCAAAAUAACCUUACUAGAGUUGCUGAAAUUACAAAUAUGCCCCUGAAUAUAAAAUUGUCUAUAACUAAUCAAAUAAAAACCCAAAUAAAAAACUGUUUUAACCCUAAAAGGCCCAACCUUUACCUUUUUUUUUAUGGGUAAAAAUAAUUCUAUUGAAACAAGACAACCUCGUUAAAUAGUCACGAAGUAGCCUAAAGAAAUAUGAAAGGAAAACUAUCUACUUAUGGAUCAAAUCUAUGAAAGAAUUAAUAGUUACCAUCUGUGAGACCCGACACCCACUCAUAAAGAGAACUGACUAAGGAUGCUUGCAAUUGUGUUGAUGUGUGUUCCACAUCUUCAAAGGUCCGCCGAUUUCUUUCCCUCCAUAUAGUCCACAUCAAACAUGAAGGAGUAAGAUUCUAGAUUGCCGAAUUAGGUCCCUUACUCCGCCACUCACAUAAUAAAUCAAGAACCUUCUCCAGUAGUACCCACUGAACCUCAUCAAACAUCUUGAAUAUCAAACUCCACAACUCAGAGGCCACAUUAUGAUGAAUCAAGAGGUGAUACUUCACUUGGAAUUCACACAUGGACCCUAUAAUGUAACUCUUGAAGAGCCAAAUUUGCAAAUGAAUAGCAUGUUAAUCUUCCAUGGCUGCAUCAAGAAUAUUUCGGGAUUGGUCUAUGUUUCAUAACUAACAGCCAUCCAGUCUGUUCCUUGGACCUGGCUUUAGAGUUGGCUCACUUGACCUUCCUUGGGCCAUGAGGCCCCCAUGUAAUUAUUAGUGUUUUUAUUUGAUUUUAAAUUUAGAAUGGGCUUAUUACAUUUCCUAAAUUUACCCUGCCAAUCACACUUUUGUCCUCCUGCAAUCCUAGUUCCUAAUUUACUACCACAUGAUCUCUGCCCAUUGUAAUAACCACGCCCCACUGCUCUCCUAAUCCUCCCUGCUUUAAAAACUUCAAUUUUUGAUCUCCAAUGUAGAGGAAUUGUGACCAAGUUAGUGCUAUGAACUCUUGUCGUCCCCUUAGAUAUUUUCCUUCUGGUACAUGGUUACUCCUAGGCAAGAACCUCUAUGGAAUUUCAACAAUUCCCAAAUACCAACCUCUCUUGUUCUCAUGGUGAUCUACAUGGACAGCUCGAUAGCUGUUGAUAUUGUUGAAAGUGUGUUUGAUGGGCUAAGUUUUCUUUUGCCUCAUCCACUUGAGCCUUUUUACAUUUUGCCUCUCCUUUUAUUUGAUAUGGGUCAAGUCCAUUGAAGCAAAAUUCAAAUGUUUUCAUGUUGGUAAAAGUAUUCUUUAAGUGCAAAGCAUAAAGCACCAAGGCUCCAAUGCUUUUUGCCUCUAUAGCAAGGCACAUUCAAAGAAGCGCACUUUUCUAUAAUUUCCCAAAAAAUAAACCAAAACAGAAUCAAGCUAUAGGAUCUUAACACUGUUGAUUUAACCAUUGAUUUGGUAUAUACAAUUCAAUGCUAUGGUGUUCUGAUAUACACUUUCCUACCCCUACAACUUUACAAAUUCUAUAAGACCCAUUUGGGACUGCAAUCGCUCGACAGUACCGUUAAUAUUAUAUUUACUAAUUCUUAUAGACUUAUACUGGUUAACUAAUUUUUUUUAUAGAUAAAAGAUAGAAACUAAUUGAAUUAUGAACUAAUAUUAGUCAUUAGUCAUAGGGCAUUAUGGCUACCGGUUAUUCAAGAAAGGAUAAUGCAUGGAAGUGCUCAUAUCUAGCUGAUCCAAAAAACAAAUUUGACUAGACUUGCAAUUUUUGUGGUAAAAUUGCAAAGGGGGAGGGGCUUAUAGAAUGUUAUUUGAAUUAUGUAAAAUGCCUUUUUUUAAUUUAUAUGAUUAUCUGAUCACUUGAUUAUUGUAUGAUCAUUAAUACUUUUUUUCAAUUUUUUUAUAUAAAAAUGUGUGCUUCACUUGAAGGAGGCAUGUGCUUGCGAUUUUACACUAAGGCUCCAAAGGCCUUUGCACUGAAGUGCGCCCCAUGCUUUUACCAACACUGUUGCUAUGUACAAAUCUGUUGCUUCUUUAUGCUGCCAACUUUUUCCGUUUCAAUUGGAUGUAUUGUCAUGGUACAUUUUAAAAUUCACCAAAAUAAUAAGUAUGGUCCUCUAUAAGUUGAAGUAUCUAUUGGCUGGAGCAGCAAGUCGUUUGUGUAGGCUCUGUAAAAGAAUUUAAAGUUGAAUGUGCUGAAGUUUUGUCAUUAAAGAUCUGCAAUCUCUCAACAUUUCUUCAAUAUAUAGUAUGAGCUGUUACCACUACAUUUCUCUUAAAGGAAUAUAUUGGAAGCUGUUCAUCGAGUGUUUUUCGCAUAGUUUUUGUAUGUAUAAACAAGUAUUUUGUUUGAUACUAAACUAUCAUACACUCUGCACGAGGCUAAUCCAGGAUUGGUAGUUAUAGGCAGCCUUAUUCCCAAAUUUUGGAGAUGCUGACAAACACUUAAACCUACAACUCAUUGCUUGGUCAGAGGGCACAUGUCAUCUCUCUAAGGUCUGACGUUUGUGUUUUGUUUAAUGCUAUGUUUUUAAAUUCUUAGUGCUGCUGAAUUUUUUUUUUUCAUUUCCUAAUUAAAAUUUAAGAUAAAUCAUAGAUUUGAUGUUUAUUAUUGUUUUUGAAAUAUAAAUACUUACUCCGAGAUAAAAUCUCUGACA